rnacentral:rRNA from 1 species
UGGGGAAUAUUGGACAAUGGGGGGAACCCUGAUCCAGCCAUGCCGCGUGUGUGAAGAAGGCCUUAUGGUUGUAAAGCACUUUAAGCGAGGAGGAGGGUACUGGUAUUAAUACUACCAGCUACUGGACGUUACUCGCAGAAUAAGCACCGGCUAACUCUGUGCCAGCAGCCGCGGUAAUACAGAGGGUGCGAGCGUUAAUCGGAUUUACUGGGCGUAAAGCGUGCGUAGGUGGUUCGUUAAGUUGAAUGUGAAAGCCCCGGGCUCAACCUGGGAACUGCAUCCAAAACUGGCGAGCUAGAGUAGGGCAGAGGGUGGUGGAAUUUCCUGUGUAGCGGUGAAAUGCGUAGAUAUAGGCAGGAACACCAGUGGCGAAGGCGACCACCUGGGCUCAUACUGACACUGAGGUGCGAAAGCGUGGGGAGCAAACAGG